rnacentral:rRNA from 1 species
UACAGAGGUCUCAAGCGUUGUUCGGAUUCAUUGGGCGUAAAGGGAGCGUAGGUGGCGGGGUUAGUCAGGUGUGAAAUCUCGGGGCUCAACCCCGAAACUGCACUUGAUACUGCCUUGCUAGAGUACCGGAGAGGAGAUUGGAAUUUACGGUGUAGCAGUGAAAUGCGUAGAUAUCGUAAGGAAGACCAGUGGCGAAGGCGAAUCUCUGGACAGUUACUGACACUGAGGCUCGAAGGCCAGGGGAGCAAACGGG